ACGCUGGCGGCGUGCUUAACACAUGCAAGUCGAACGAUGAGGCCUAGCUUGCUAGGUGGAUUAGUGGCGAACGGGUGAGUAAUACGUGAGUAACCUACCUUUAACUCUGGGAUAAGCCUGGGAAACUGGGUCUAAUACCGGAUACGACCAAUCUCCGCAUGGAGUGUUGGUGGAAAGCGUUAUGUAGUGGUUAUAGAUGGGCUCACGGCCUAUCAGCUUGUUGGUGAGGUAACGGCUCACCAAGGCGACGACGGGUAGCCGGCCUGAGAGGGUGACCGGCCACACUGGGACUGAGACACGGCCCAGUCUCCUACGGGAGGCAGCAGUGGGGAAUAUUGCACAAUGGGCGCAAGCCUGAUGCAGCGACGCCGCGUGAGGGAUGACGGCCUUCGGGUUGUAAACCUCUGUUAGCAGGGAAGAAGAGAAAUUGACGGUACCUGCAGAGAAAGCGCCGGCUAACUACGUGCCAGCAGCCGCGGUAAUACGUAGGGCGCGAGCGUUGUCCGGAAUUAUUGGGCGUAAAGAGCUUGUAGGCGGUUUGUCGCGUCUGCUGUGAAAGGCCGGGGCUUAACCCCGUGUAUUGCAGUGGGUACGGGCAGACUAGAGUGCAGUAGGGGAGACUGGAACUCCUGGUGUAGCGGUGGAAUGCGCAGUUAUCAGGAAGAACACCGAUGGCGAAGGCAGGUCUCUGGGCUGUAACUGACGCUGAGAAGCGAAAGCAUGGGGAGCGAACAGGAUUAGAUACCCUGGUAGUCCAUGCCAUAAACGUUGGGCACUAGGUGUGGGGGACAUUCCACGUUUUCCGCGCCGUAGCUAACGCAUUAAGUGCCCCGCCUGGGGAGUACGGCCGCAAGGCUAAAACUCAAAGAAAUUGACGGGGGCCCGCACAAGCGGCGGAGCAUGCGGAUUA
rnacentral:rRNA from 1 species